GGUUAAGCGACUAAGCGUACACGGUGGAUGCCCUGGCAGUCAGAGGCGAUGAAGGACGUGCUAAUCUGCGAUAAGCGUCGGUAAGGUGAUAUGAACCGUUAUAACCGGCGAUUUCCGAAUGGGGAAACCCAGUGUGUUUCGACACACUAUCAUUAACUGAAUCCAUAGGUUAAUGAGGCGAACCGGGGGAACUGAAACAUCUAAGUACCCCGAGGAAAAGAAAUCAACCGAGAUUCCCCCAGUAGCGGCGAGCGAACGGGGAGCAGCCCAGAGCCUGAAUCAGUGUGUGUGUUAGUGGAAGCGUCUGGAAAGGCGCGCGAUACAGGGUGACAGCCCCGUACACAAAAAUGCACAUGCUGUGAGCUCGAUGAGUAGGGCGGGACACGUGGUAUCCUGUCUGAAUAUGGGGGGACCAUCCUCCAAGGCUAAAUACUCCUGACUGACCGAUAGUGAACCAGUACCGUGAGGGAAAGGCGAAAAGAACCCCGGCGAGGGGAGUGAAAAAGAACCUGAAACCGUGUACGUACAAGCAGUGGGAGCACGCUUAGGCGUGUGACUGCGUACCUUUUGUAUAAUGGGUCAGCGACUUAUAUUCUGUAGCAAGGUUAACCGAAUAGGGGAGCCGAAGGGAAACCGAGUCUUAACUGGGCGUUAAGUUGCAGGGUAUAGACCCGAAACCCGGUGAUCUAGCCAUGGGCAGGUUGAAGGUUGGGUAACACUAACUGGAGGACCGAACCGACUAAUGUUGAAAAAUUAGCGGAUGACUUGUGGCUGGGGGUGAAAGGCCAAUCAAACCGGGAGAUAGCUGGUUCUCCCCGAAAGCUAUUUAGGUAGCGCCUCGUGAAUUCAUCUCCGGGGGUAGAGCACUGUUUCGGCAAGGGGGUCAUCCCGACUUACCAACCCGAUGCAAACUGCGAAUACCGGAGAAUGUUAUCACGGGAGACACACGGCGGGUGCUAACGUCCGUCGUGAAGAGGGAAACAACCCAGACCGCCAGCUAAGGUCCCAAAGUCAUGGUUAAGUGGGAAACGAUGUGGGAAGGCCCAGACAGCCAGGAUGUUGGCUUAGAAGCAGCCAUCAUUUAAAGAAAGCGUAAUAGCUCACUGGUCGAGUCGGCCUGCGCGGAAGAUGUAACGGGGCUAAACCAUGCACCGAAGCUGCGGCAGCGACACUGUGUGUUGUUGGGUAGGGGAGCGUUCUGUAAGCCUGUGAAGGUGUACUGUGAGGUAUGCUGGAGGUAUCAGAAGUGCGAAUGCUGACAUAAGUAACGAUAAAGCGGGUGAAAAGCCCGCUCGCCGGAAGACCAAGGGUUCCUGUCCAACGUUAAUCGGGGCAGGGUGAGUCGACCCCUAAGGCGAGGCCGAAAGGCGUAGUCGAUGGGAAACAGGUUAAUAUUCCUGUACUUGGUGUUACUGCGAAGGGGGGACGGAGAAGGCUAUGUUGGCCGGGCGACGGUUGUCCCGGUUUAAGCGUGUAGGCUGGUUUUCCAGGCAAAUCCGGAAAAUCAAGGCUGAGGCGUGAUGACGAGGCACUACGGUGCUGAAGCAACAAAUGCCCUGCUUCCAGGAAAAGCCUCUAAGCAUCAGGUAACAUCAAAUCGUACCCCAAACCGACACAGGUGGUCAGGUAGAGAAUACCAAGGCGCUUGAGAGAACUCGGGUGAAGGAACUAGGCAAAAUGGUGCCGUAACUUCGGGAGAAGGCACGCUGAUAUGUAGGUGAAGUCCCUCGCGGAUGGAGCUGAAAUCAGUCGAAGAUACCAGCUGGCUGCAACUGUUUAUUAAAAACACAGCACUGUGCAAACACGAAAGUGGACGUAUACGGUGUGACGCCUGCCCGGUGCCGGAAGGUUAAUUGAUGGGGUUAGCGCAAGCGAAGCUCUUGAUCGAAGCCCCGGUAAACGGCGGCCGUAACUAUAACGGUCCUAAGGUAGCGAAAUUCCUUGUCGGGUAAGUUCCGACCUGCACGAAUGGCGUAAUGAUGGCCAGGCUGUCUCCACCCGAGACUCAGUGAAAUUGAACUCGCUGUGAAGAUGCAGUGUACCCGCGGCAAGACGGAAAGACCCCGUGAACCUUUACUAUAGCUUGACACUGAACAUUGAGCCUUGAUGUGUAGGAUAGGUGGGAGGCUUUGAAGUGUGGACGCCAGUCUGCAUGGAGCCGACCUUGAAAUACCACCCUUUAAUGUUUGAUGUUCUAACGUUGACCCGUAAUCCGGGUUGCGGACAGUGUCUGGUGGGUAGUUUGACUGGGGCGGUCUCCUCCUAAAGAGUAACGGAGGAGCACGAAGGUUGGCUAAUCCUGGUCGGACAUCAGGAGGUUAGUGCAAUGGCAUAAGCCAGCUUGACUGCGAGCGUGACGGCGCGAGCAGGUGCGAAAGCAGGUCAUAGUGAUCCGGUGGUUCUGAAUGGAAGGGCCAUCGCUCAACGGAUAAAAGGUACUCCGGGGAUAACAGGCUGAUACCGCCCAAGAGUUCAUAUCGACGGCGGUGUUUGGCACCUCGAUGUCGGCUCAUCACAUCCUGGGGCUGAAGUAGGUCCCAAGGGUAUGGCUGUUCGCCAUUUAAAGUGGUACGCGAGCUGGGUUUAGAACGUCGUGAGACAGUUCGGUCCCUAUCUGCCGUGGGCGCUGGAGAACUGAGGGGGGCUGCUCCUAGUACGAGAGGACCGGAGUGGACGCAUCACUGGUGUUCGGGUUGUCAUGCCAAUGGCACUGCCCGGUAGCUAAAUGCGGAAGAGAUAAGUGCUGAAAGCAUCUAAGCACGAAACUUGCCCCGAGAUGAGUUCUCCCUGACUCCUUGAGAGUCCUGAAGGAACGUUGAAGACGACGACGUUGAUAGGCCGGGUGUGUAAGCGCAGCGAUGCGUUGAGCUAACCGGUACUAAUGAACCGUGAGGCUUAACCUU
rnacentral:rRNA from 1 species